rnacentral:rRNA from 1 species
UACGGGGGGGGCAAGCGUUGUUCGGAAUUACUGGGCGUAAAGGGCUCGUAGGCGGCCAACUAAGUCAGACGUGAAAUCCCCAGGCUCAACCUGGGAACUGCGUCUGAUACUGGAUGGCUUGAAUCCGGGAGAGGGAUGCAGAAUUCCAGGUGUAGCGGUGAAAUGCGUAGAUAUCUGGAGGAACACCGGUGGCGAAGGCGGCUCUCUGGGCCUUACCUGACGCUGAGGAGCGAAAGCUGGGGGAGCGAACAGG